UACGAACUGUGCGAACGUUAUUCGGAAUCACUGGGCUUAAAGGGUGCGUAGGCGGCUGCCUAAGUCAGGUGUGAAAUCUCCCGGCUCAACCGGGAAACUGCGCUUGAUACUGGGCGGCUCGAGUGAGGUAGGGGUGUGUGGAACUUCCGGUGGAGCGGUGAAAUGUGUAGAUAUCGGAAGGAACGCCAGCAGCGAAAGCGGCACACGUGGCCUUUUCUGACGCUGAGGCACGAAAGCCAGGGGAGCGAACGGG
rnacentral:rRNA from 1 species